UAUAAAGUCAGCUAAAAAAAAGCUAGUGGGUUCAUACCCCAAAAAUGAUUAUUUCCUUUAUAA
rnacentral:tRNA from 1 species